rnacentral:rRNA from 1 species
AUACGGAGGGUGCAAGCGUUACUCGGAAUCACUGGGCGUAAAGCGCGCGCAGGCGGCUAUUUAAGUUGGAUGUGAAAGCGUACGGCUCAACCGUAGAACUGCAUCCAAAACUAUUUAGCUAGAGUGUGGGAGAGGAAGAUGGAAUUAGUUGUGUAGGGGUAAAAUCCGUAGAGAUAACUAGGAAUACCAAAAGCGAAGGCAAUCUUCUGGAACACUACUGACGCUGAGGCGCGAAAGCGUGGGGAGCAAACAGGAUUAGAAACCCCAGUAGUCC